GAUGAAGAACGCAGCGAAAUGCGAUGAGUAAUGUGAAUUGCAGAAUUCAGUGAAUCAUCGAAUCUUUGAACGCACAUUGCGCCCGCCAGUAUUCUGGCGGGCAUGCCUGUCCGAGCGUCAUUUCAACCCUCGAACCCCUCCGGGGGGUCGGCGUUGGGGAUCGGCCCUUUACGGGGCCGGCCCCGAAAUACAGUGGCGGUCUCGCCGCAGCCUCUCCUGCGCAGUAGUUUGCACACUCGCAUCGGGAGCGCGGCGCGUCCACAGCCGUUAAACACCCCAAACUUCUGAAAUGUUGACCUCGGAUCAGGUAGGAAUACCCGCUGAACUUAAGCAUAUCAAUAAGCGGAGGA
rnacentral:misc_RNA from 1 species